rnacentral:rRNA from 1 species
AGUGAACGCUGGCGGUAGGCCUAACACAUGCAAGUCGAACGGCAGCACAGGAGAGCUUGCUCUCUGGGUGGCGAGUGGCGGACGGGUGAGGAAUACAUCGGAAUCUACUCUGUCGUGGGGGAUAACGUAGGGAAACUUACGCUAAUACCGCAUACGACCUACGGGUGAAAGCAGGGGACCUUCGGGCCUUGCGCGAUUGAGUGAGCCGAUGGCGGAUUAGCUAGUUGGCGGGGUAAAGGCCCACCAAGGCGACGAUCCGUAGCUGGUCUGAGAGGAUGAUCAGCCACACUGGAACUGAGACACGGUCCAGACUCCUACGGGAGGCAGCAGUGGGGAAUAUUGGACAAUGGGCGCAAGCCUGAUCCAGCCAUACCGCGUGGGUGAAGAAGGCCUUCGGGUUGUAAAGCCCUUUUGUUGGGAAAGAAAUCCAGCUGGCUAAUACCCGGUUGGGAUGACGGUACCCAAAGAAUAAGCACCGGCUAACUUCGUGCCAGCAGCCGCCGUAA